CCUACGGGAGGCUGCAGUGGGGAAUAUUGGACAAUGGGGGCAACCCUGAUCCAGCCAUGCCGCGUGUGUGAAGAAGGCCCUCGGGUUGUAAAGCACUUUCAGUGAGGAAGAACGCCUGGUGGUUAAUACCCAUCAGGAAAGACAUCACUCACAGAAGAAGCACCGGCUAACUCCGUGUCAGCAGCCGCGGUAAUACGGAGGGUGCGAGCGUUAAUCGGAAUUACUGGGCGUAAAGCGCGCGUAGGUGGCUUGAUAAGCCGGUUGUGAAAGCCCCGGGCUCAACCUGGGAACGGCAUCCGGAACUGUCAAGCUAGAGUGCAGGAGAGGAAGGUAGAAUUCCCGGUGUAGCGGUGAAAUGCGUAGAGAUCGGGAGGAAUACCAGUGGCGAAGGCGGCCUUCUGGACUGACACUGACACUGAGGUGCGAAAGCGUGGGUAGCAAACAGGAUUAGAUACCCCGGUAGUC
rnacentral:rRNA from 1 species